AAAAGGGCGUUUGGUGAAUGCCUUGGCAGUAAGAGGCGAUGAAAGACGUGAUACUCUGCGAUAAGCCAUGGGGAGCCGAGAAUAGGCUUUGAUCCAUGGAUCUCUGAAUGGGGCAACCCACCUGAUACUGUGUUAUUGUUACCCGCUUCGGCGGCGAUCAAUAAUGCGGUAAAACAGGUAUUUCUAGACUGAAUACAUAGGUUUAGAAAAGCAAACCCGGGGAACUGAAACAUCUAAGUACCCGGAGGAAAGGAAAUCAAUUGAUACUCCCCUAGUAGCGGCGAGCGAACGGGGACCAGCCGAGCCAUGAGUGUGGUUAGAAUGCGUUGGAAUGCGCAACCAGAGUGGGUGAUAGUCCCGUAUAAGAAGCAUGAUUGGACGUAUUAAGUAGGGCGGGACACGUGAAAUCCUGUCUGAAGAUCGGAGGACCACCUUCGAAGGCUAAGUACUCCUUACUGACCGAUAGUGAACCAGUACCGUGAGGGAAAGGUGAAAAGCACCCCGACGAGGGGAGUGAAACAGUACCUGAAACCGAACGCCUACAAUCAGUUGGAGGGGCUUUACGCCCUGACAGCGUACCUUUUGUAUAAUGGGUCAUCGACUUGGUCUCACGAGCAAGCUUAAGCCGUUAGGUGUAGGCGCAGCGAAAGCGAGUCUUAAUAGGGCGUCGAGUUCGUGGGAUCAGACCCGAAACCGAGUGAUCUAGGCAUGGCCAGGUUGAAGGUAAGGUAACACUUACUGGAGGACCGAACCCACAUCCGUUGAAAAGGAUCGGGAUGAGCUGUGCCUAGGGGUGAAAGGCCAAUCAAACUCGGAGAUAGCUGGUUCUCUGCGAAAUCUAUUUAGGUAGAGCGUCAUCCGAAUACCCUCGGGGGUAGAGCACUGGAUGGGUAAUGGGGCCCCACAGGCUUACUGAUCCUAACCAAACUCCGAAUACCGAGGAGUACUAGAUGGCAGACACACGGCGAAUGCUAACGUCCGUCGUGAAGAGGGAAACAACCCUGACCUCCAGCUAAGGCCCCUAAUUCAUGGCUAAGUGGGAAAGCAGGUGAGACGGCCAAAACAACCAGGAGGUUGGCUUAGAAGCAGCCAUCCUUUAAAGAUAGCGUAACAGCUCACUGGUCUAAUUAAGCUGUCUUGCGGCGAAGAUGUAACGGGGCUCAAGCCAUGAGCCGAAGCUGAGGAUGCAUUUAUUGCAUGGUAGCAGAGCGUAGUGUGACAUAACUCCUAUCCCCUUCAGCGUUGGUGCGCAGUAAAUGCGCACCCUACGUUGAGGAGGGUAAGGAGUUUUCUGUGAAGCUGGCGCGUGAGCGAUCCGGUGGAGAGAUCACUAGUGAGAAUGAUGACAUGAGUAGCGACAAAGAGUGUGAGAGACACUCUCGCCGAAAGUCCAAGGGUUCCUGCUUAAAGCUAAUCUGAGCAGGGUAAGCCGACCCCUAAGGCGAGGCCGAAAGGCGUAGUCGAUGGGAACCAGGUUAAUAUUCCUGGGCCAGAUGGAAGUGACGGAUCUCGAGGGUAGUUCAUCCUUAUCGGAUUGAAUGGGCUGCUUAGAGGUUCCUGGAAAUAGCUCCAUCGCUAGAUCGUACCCUAAACCGACACAGGUGGACUGGUAGAGAAUACCAAGGCGCUUGAGAGAACUAUGUUGAAGGAACUCGGCAAAAUACCUCCGUAAGUUCGCGAGAAGGAGGCCCGGUUCCUAGGCAACUAGGGGCUGGGGGCACAAACCAGGGGGUGGCGACUGUUUAUUAAAAACACAGGGCUCUGCGAAGUCGCAAGACGACGUAUAGGGUCUGACGCCUGCCCGGUGCCUGAAGGUUAAAAGGAGGGGUGAGAGCUCUGAAUUGAAGCCCAGGUAAACGGCGGCCGUAACUAUAACGGUCCUAAGGUAGCGAAAUUCCUUGUCGGGUAAGUUCCGACCUGCACGAAUGGCGUAACGACUUCCCCGCUGUCUCCAACAUAGACUCAGCGAAAUUGAAUUACCUGUCAAGAUGCAGGUUUCCCGCGGUUAGACGGAAAGACCCCGUGCACCUUUACUACAGCUUCACACUGGCAUUAGGCCGAACAUGUGCAGGAUAGGUGGUGGGCUUUGAAGCCGGAACGCUAGUUUCGGUGGAGCCUCCCUUGAGAUACCACCCUUGUUCUGCUUGAUGUCUAACCGCGGUCCGUUAUCCGGAUCCGGGACCCUGUGUGGCGGGUAGUUUGACUGGGGCGGUCGCCUCCUAAAUCGUAACGGAGGCGCGCGAAGGUUGGCUCAGAGCGGUCGGAAAUCGCUCGUUGAGUGCAAUGGCAGAAGCCAGCCUGACUGCAAGACUGACAAGUCGAGCAGAGUCGAAAGACGGCCAUAGUGAUCCGGUGGUCCCAAGUGGGAGGGCCAUCGCUCAACGGAUAAAAGGUACGCCGGGGAUAACAGGCUGAUACUGCCCAAGAGUCCAUAUCGACGGCAGUGUUUGGCACCUCGAUGUCGGCUCAUCUCAUCCUGGGGCUGGAGCAGGUCCCAAGGGUACGGCUGUUCGCCGUUUAAAGAGGUACGUGAGCUGGGUUUAGAACGUCGUGAGACAGUUCGGUCCCUAUCUUCCGUGGGUGUAGGAUACUUGAGAGGAGUUGCCCCUAGUACGAGAGGACCGGGGUGAACGAUCCACUGGUGGACCAGUUGUUAUGCCAAUAGCAGUGCUGGGUAGCUAUGAUCGGACAGGAUAACCGCUGAAGGCAUCUAAGCGGGAAGCCCCCCUCAAAACAAGGUAUCCCUGAGAGCCGAGGUAGACCACCUCGUCGAUAGGCCAGAGAUGUAAGCGUGGUAACACGUUCAGUUGACUGGUACUAAUUGCUCGAUAGGCUUGAUU
rnacentral:rRNA from 1 species